GGAUGGGUGACUGCUGGUGUUACAGCCGUACAAUUAUAUGUAAUGAUUUUUUUUUUUAUUUCAAUUCAUUAUAGAGAAUUGCGUAUGACUCUAUCAAAUACUAUAUCCAUAAAAUUAAGCAAAAUAAUUAAUUAAAAGUAACAAUGGGCUUUCAGACCUGACCAUGUUCUGAUUAAGCCUGAUCAGGUCAAUUCAUGCCUGAUCAGGCCUGAAGACUCAUGCCUGUUCAUGUCUGAUCAGUCCUGAUCAUUUUUUCCCGG